GGGUCCUUCAAGUCACGCGCCU
rnacentral:siRNA from 1 species